rnacentral:piRNA from 2 species
UUCAAAUGCCCCUGACAAAGGAUUUGGUGU